rfam:Acanthisitta chloris contig38837, whole genome shotgun sequence.
CUCUCCAUGAUGAUCAAGCUUUCGUGCCACUGUGUCUGGGCCGCUGAUGUCCAUGAUGGAGUUGAGGAUCUGAACAG